rnacentral:pre_miRNA from 1 species
UGUUAAGACUGUCAGUGUUUGGGUUUAAAUAAGUUUCAAACACUGACAGUCUUGACAGA